rnacentral:rRNA from 1 species
GACGUAGGGCGCGAGCGUUGUCCGGAUUUAUUGGGCGUAAAGAGCUCGUAGGCGGCUUGUCGCGUCGGCUGUGAAAACCCGAGGCUCAACUUCGGGCUUGCAGUCGAUACGGGCAGGCUAGAGUUCGGUAGGGGAGACUGGAAUUCCUGGUGUAGCGGUGAAAUGCGCAGAUAUCAGGAGGAACACCGAUGGCGAAGGCAGGUCUCUGGGCCGAUACUGACGCUGAGGAGCGAAAGCGUGGGGAGCGAACAGG